AAUAGAUACCCGGGUAGUCCACGCCGUAAACGAUGAGUGCUAAGUGUUAGAGGGUUUCCGCCCUUUAGUGCUGCAGCUAACGCAUUAAGCACUCCGCCUGGGGAGUACGGCCGCAAGGCUGAAACUCAAAAGAAUUGACGGGGGCCCGCACAAGCGGUGGAGCAUGUGGUUUAAUUCGAAGCAACGCGAAGAACCUUACCAGGUCUUGACAUCCUCUGCCAACCCUAGAGAUAGGGCGUUCCCCUUCGGGGGACAGAGUGACAGGUGGUGCAUGGUUGUCGUCAGCUCGUGUCGUGAGAUGUUGGGUUAAGUCCCGCAACGAGCGCAACCCUUGAUCUUAGUUGCCAGCAUUCAGUUGGGCACUCUAAGGUGACUGCCGGUGACAAACCGGAGGAAGGUGGGGAUGACGUCAAAUCAUCAUGCCCCUUAUGACCUGGGCUACACACGUGCUACAAUGGAUGGUACAAAGAGCAGCGAACCCGCGAGGGUAAGCCAAUCUCAUAAAGCCAUUCUCAGUUCGGA
rnacentral:rRNA from 1 species